ACGGAAGGCAGCAGUGGGGAAUAUUGGGCAAUGGGCGAAAGCCUGACCCAGCAACGCCGCGUGAAGGAAGAAGGUCUUCGGAUUGUAAACUUCUUUUAUCAGGGACGAAGAAAGUGACGGUACCUGAUGAAUAAGCCACGGCUAACUACGUGCCAGCAGCCGCGGUAAUACGUAGGUGGCAAGCGUUAUCCGGAUUUACUGGGUGUAAAGGGCGCGUAGGCGGGGAUGCAAGUCAGAUGUGAAAUCCAUGGGCUCAACCCAUGAACUGCAUUUGAAACUGUAUCUCUUGAGUGUCGGAGAAGUAGACGGAAUUCCUAGUGUAGCGGUGAAAUGCGUAGAUAUUAGGAGGAACACCAGAGGCGAAGGCGGCUUUCUGGACAUUAACUGACACUGAGGCUCGAAAGCGUGGGGAGCAAACAGGAUUAGAUACCCUGGUA
rnacentral:rRNA from 1 species